UACGUAGGCAGCGAGCGUUGUUCGGAGUUACUGGGCGUAAAGGGUGUGUAGGCGGUUGUUUAAGUUUGGUGUGAAAUCUCCCGGCUCAACUGGGAGGGUGCGCCGAAUACUGAAUGACUUGGAGUGCGGGAGAGGAGAGUGGAAUUCCUGGUGUAGCGGUGAAAUGCGUAGAUAUCAGGAGGAACACCAGUGGUGUAGACGGCUCUCUGGACCGUAACUGACGCUGAGACACGAAAGCGUGGGUAGCAAACAGG
rnacentral:rRNA from 1 species